UACGUAGGCAGCAAGCGUUGUUCGGAGUUACUGGGCGUAAAGGGUGCGUAGGCGGCUUUUUAAGUUUGGUGUGAAAUCUCCCGGCUCAACUGGGAGGGUGCGCCGAAUACUGAGAGGCUAGAGUGUGGGAGAGGAAAGUGGAAUUCCUGGGUGUAGCGGUGAAAUGCGUAGAUAUCAGGAGGAACACCGGUGGUGUAAACGCUUUCUGGACCAUAACUGACGCUGAUGCACGAAAAGCGUGGGUAGCAAACAGG
rnacentral:rRNA from 1 species